ACGAACGCUGGCGGCGUGCUUAACACAUGCAAGUCGAACGGAGAUUAUUAAUGAAGCUUGCGAUUUAAUAAUCUUAGUGGCGGACGGGUGAGUAACGCGUGGGCAACCUACCCAUAAGCGGGGGAUAACAGUUGGAAACGACUGCUAAUACCGCAUAAGCUAUUGAGGUCGCAUGACCUAAAUAGUAAAGGUGGCGAAAGCUAUCACUUAUGGAUGGGCCCGCGUCUGAUUAGCUAGUUGGUGGGAUAGCAGCCUACCAAGGCAACGAUCAGUAGCCGGCCUGAGAGGGUGGACGGCCACACUGGGACUGAGACACGGCCCAGACUCCUACGGGAGGCAGCAGUGGGGAAUAUUGCGCAAUGGGGGAAACCCUGACGCAGCGACGCCGCGUGAGCGAAGAAGGCCUUAGGGUCGUAAAGCUCUGUUGUAAGGGACGAAUGUUUAUCUGGCGAACAGUCAGAUAAAGUGACGGUACCUUACCAGCAAGCCCCGGCUAACUACGUG
rnacentral:rRNA from 1 species